AAGUCGAAGGGCAGCAUGGUCUUAGCUUGCUAAGGCCGAUGGCGACCGGCGCACGGGUGAGUAACACGUAUCCAACCUGCCGUCUACUCUUGGACAGCCUUCUGAAAGGAAGAUUAAUACAAGAUGGCAUCAUGAGUCCGCAUGUUCACAUGAUUAAAGGUAUUCCGGUAGACGAUGGGGAUGCGUUCCAUUAGAUAGUAGGCGGGGUAACGGCCCACCUAGUCUUCGAUGGAUAGGGGUUCUGAGAGGAAGGUCCCCCACAUUGGAACUGAGACACGGUCCAAACUCCUACGGGAGGCAGCAGUGAGGAAUAUUGGUCAAUGGGCGAGAGCCUGAACCAGCCAAGUAGCGUGAAGGAUGACUGCCCUAUGGGUUGUAAACUUCUUUUAUAAAGGAAUAAAGUCGGGUAUGCAUACCCGUUUGCAUGUACUUUAUGAAUAAGGAUCGGCUAACUCCGUGCCAGCAGCCGCGGUAAUACGGAGGAUCCGAGCGUUAUCCGGAUUUAUUGGGUUUAAAGGGAGCGUAGAUGGAUGUUUAAGUCAGUUGUGAAAGUUUGCGGCUCAACCGUAAAAUUGCAGUUGAUACUGGAUAUCUUGAGUGCAGUUGAGGCAGGCGGAAUUCGUGGUGUAGCGGUGAAAUGCUUAGAUAUCACGAAGAACUCCGAUUGCGAAGGCAG
rnacentral:rRNA from 1 species